rnacentral:misc_RNA from 1 species
GGGGAGUAAUGGGAUCAUUGCGCGUGAUCGAACUCCAACUUGUUGCUUUCAUAAUGGUUUUCUCGGCAACUGGGCUUGUCCCACUUCUUGAUUUAGUAUUCCCAGCAUUUGCUUCUGCUUAUAUUUUAUUGCUUUCUCGGUUGGCCUUCCCUUCAAAUGGCAGAGUCAGUUCUGGCUCGCAAGAGAUUUUUCAAGGAAGCAAAUUCUUUUGGUUGUAUGUUAUUGUGGGAACCAGAGUGGGUCUGUUCUUGCCUCUUCAUACGUUUUAGGUGGUUCGCAAGAGGUGAUCAUGCAGUUCGA